AUUGAACGCUGGCGGCAGGCCUAACACAUGCAAGUCGAACGGUAGCACAGAGGAGCUUGCUCCUUGGGUGACGAGUGGCGGACGGGUGAGUAAUGUCUGGGAAACUGCCCGAUGGAGGGGGAUAACUACUGGAAACGGUAGCUAAUACCGCAUAACGUCGCAAGACCAAAGUGGGGGACCUUCGGGCCUCACACCAUCGGAUGUGCCCAGAUGGGAUUAGCUAGUAGGUGGGGUAAUGGCUCACCUAGGCGACGAUCCCUAGCUGGUCUGAGAGGAUGACCAGCCACACUGGAACUGAGACACGGUCCAGACUCCUACGGGAGGCAGCAGUGGGGAAUAUUGCACAAUGGGCGCAAGCCUGAUGCAGCCAUGCCGCGUGUAUGAAGAAGGCCUUCGGGUUGUAAAGUACUUUCAGUGGGGAGGAAGGCGGUGAAGUUAAUAGCUUCACCGAUUGACGUUACCCGCAGAAGAAGCACCGGCUAACUUCGUGCCAGCAGCCGCGGUAAUACGAAGGGUGCAAGCGUUACUCGGAAUUACUGGGCGUAAAGCGUGCGUAGGUGGUUGUUUAAGUCUGUUGUGAAAGCCCUGGGCUCAACCUGGGAAUUGCAGUGGAUACUGGGCGACUAGAGUGUGGUAGAGGGUAGUGGAAUUCCCGGU
rnacentral:rRNA from 1 species